rnacentral:rRNA from 1 species
GACGAACGCUGGCGGCGUGCUUAACACAUGCAAGUCGAACGGAAAGGCCCUGCUAUUGUGUUUUGCUUGAGUGGCGAACGGGUAAGUAACACGUGAGUACCCUUCCCUUGGCUUCGGGAUAACUUCAGGAAACUGAGGCUACCACCGGCUAGGAGCCCCUGCUGCAUGGUGGGGGGUGGAAAGUUUCGGCUGUUGUUGAUGGACUGGCGGCUCAUGAGCUUGUUGGUGGGGUAGUGGCUUACCAAGGCUUUGACGGGUAGCCGGCCGGAGAGGAUGACCGGCCACAAUGGUGGGGAGGAGCGACGCAGAAGACUACGGGGGGAAGCAGUGGGGAGUAAUGCACAAUGAGGGGCGGCCGGAUGCAGGAGCGCCGCGGGCGGGAUGAAGGCCUUCGGGGGGUAGAGAGCUUCCGCCUGUGGCGAAGAGUGAGUGACGGUAACUGGUGAAGAAGCACCGGCUAACUCCGUG